UUGCUGCAGGUUGCAUCAUGUCGUGCAACGGUCGGCGUCUUGGUGGUGGUUGGUUAGGCGGACGCCACUUUUAUUUCUGAAGCAGUUUGUCGGUUUGUCUCCUUGGCUGUGAUACAUUGUGACAUCGCCGGCGUUGUAGAAUACCGGUGUCUAGACUGAUGGGCAGUAUGAACGCACCGUUGACAUCGUAGAACUUUCGAAGAAAUAACGACGUUGUCAGUACAACUUUUUCAGCCGGGCAUCAGUGCACAGUUGGUAUCCGCCGAUCGGCCAUGAAAAUGCCGACUUAACUGGUGACACUCCGUUCUCCGACUACACUGGGGGGAACACUGUGAUCUGAAUAUUUCGGGUCCUCCAUAACAUGGUACUGCCCAAACUGGAUCCGCAAUAUGGUCCGAUGCCAGCCGGCGAGAAAUAUCGUAUAUCUAAGAACGCACAAGUGCGCCAGUUCCACGUUGUACAAUAUUCUUCAACGUUACAUCCUCAAGCAUCGACUAAAUAAGGUUAUGUCGAAGAACUAUGGUGUAUAUAUCGGUCAUCCCGCGCACUUUCAGCCAUCAUUUGUCAUAGACAUGCGGAAUUACAACCUGUCAAACAAUAUCUUAACUGAUCAUAUGCGCUUCGACAAACAGGAAGUAGCGCGAAUGAU